rnacentral:rRNA from 1 species
UGGGGAAUAUUGCACAAUGGGCGCAAGCCUGAUGCAGCCAUGCCGCGUGUAUGAAGAGGCCUUCGGGUUGUAAAGUACUUUCAGCGAGGAGGAAGGCGUUGUGGUUAAUAACCGCAGCGAUUGACGUUACUCGCAGAAGAAGCACCGGCUAACUCCGUGCCAGCAGCCGCGGUAAUACGGAGGGUGCAAGCGUUAAAUCGGAAUUACUGGGCGUAAAGCGCACGCAGGCGGUCUGUCAAGUCGGAUGUGAAAUCCCCGGGCUCAACCUGGGAACUGCAUCCGAAACUGGCAGGCUAGAGUCUUGUAGAGGGGUAG